GCGGAGGGAUCAUUAUCGAGUUUACAACUCCCAAACCCUUAUGUGAACAUACCUACUGUUGCUUCGGCGGACUCGCCCCGGCGUCCGGACGGCCUCGCGCCGCCCGCGGCCCGGACCCAGGCGGCCGCCGGAGACCCCCAAACUCUGUAUUAUCAGCAUUUUCUGAAUCCGCCGCAAGGCAAAACAAAUGAAUCAAAACUUUCAACAACGGAUCUCUUGGUUCUGGCAUCGAUGAAGAACGCAGCGAAAUGCGAUAAGUAAUGUGAAUUGCAGAAUUCAGUGAAUCAUCGAAUCUUUGAACGCACAUUGCGCCCGCCAGCAUUCUGGCGGGCAUGCCUGUUCGAGCGUCAUUUCAACCCUCGACUUCCCUUUGGGGAAAUCGGCGUUGGGGAACGGCAGCAUACCGCCGGCCCCGAAAUGAAGUGGCGGCCCGUCCGCGGCGACCUCUGCGUAGUAAUCCAACUCGCACCGGAACCCCGACGUGGCCACGCCGUAAAACACCCAACUUCUGAACGUUGACCUCGGAUCAGGUAGGAAUACCCGCUGAACUUAAGCAUAUCAAUAAGCGGAGGAAAAGAAACCAACAGGGAUUGCCCCAGUAACGGCGAGUGAAGCGGCAACAGCUCAAAUUUGAAAUCUGGCCCUUGGGUCCGAGUUGUAAUUUGUAGAGGAUGCUUUUGGCGAGGUGCCUUCCGAGUUCCCUGGAACGGGACGCCAUAGAGGGUGAGAGCCCCGUCUGGUCGGACACCGAGCCUCUGUAAAGCUCCUUCGACGAGUCGAGUAGUUUGGGAAUGCUGCUCAAAAUGGGAGGUAUAUGUCUUCUAAAGCUAAAUAUUGGCCAGAGACCGAUAGCGCACAAGUAGAGUGAUCGAAAGAUGAAAAGCACUUUGAAAAGAGGGUUAAAAAGUACGUGAAAUUGUUGAAAGGGAAGCGCCUAUGACCAGACUUGGGCCCGGUGAAUCAUCCAGCGUUCUCGCUGGUGCACUUUGCCGGGCACAGGCCAGCAUCAGUUUGGCGCGGGGGAAAAAGGCUUUGGGAAUGUGGCUCCCUCGGGAGUGUUAUAGCCCAUUGUGUAAUACCCUGCGCCGGACUGAGGUACGCGCAUUGCAAGGAUGCUGGCGUA
rnacentral:sRNA from 1 species